rnacentral:rRNA from 1 species
AUUGAACGCUAGCGGCAUGCCUUACACAUGCAAGUCGAACGGCAGCACGGGGCAACCUGGUGGCGAGUGGCGAACGGGUGAGUAAUGUAUCGGAACGUGCCCAGUAGCGGGGGAUAACUACGCGAAAGCGUAGCUAAUACCGCAUACGCCCUACGGGGAAAGGGGGGGAUCGCAAGACCUCGCACUAUUGGAGCGGCUGAUAUCGGUUUCGCUAGUUGGUGAGGUAAAGGCUCACCAAGGCUGCGAUCCGUAACUGGUUUGAGAGGACGACCAGCCACGCUGGGACUGAGACACGGCCCAGACUCCUACGGGAGGCAGCAGGGGGGCAUUUUGGACAAUGGGGGCAACCCUGAUCCAGCAAUGCCGCGUGUGCGAAGAAGGCCUUCGGGUUGUAAAGCACUUUUGGCAGGAACGAAACGGUGCCGGAUAAUACCUGGCGCCACUGACGGUACCUGCAGAAUAAGCACCGGCUAACUACGUGCCAGCAGCCGCGGUAA